CUCCUGUUGUGAGUUUACGAGCCAGUUCACAGCAUUUAAAAGAGACUGACUGCAGCAGUGUUUCAGCUCCUCACAGCUGGAGACACAGCGCCCUCUGCUGGAGGGAAGUCAGACCAACAUCCACACUGAGGGUCAACAUGUUCAGUAAACUUCUGCCAGAAGAGAACUGAUGGGAAAAUACAACUAAAGCAGAUCUGACUGCAUGUACGUACACCGAGGAGUCUGCAGGGGAUACGAGACACUGACGUUUGUAGACAUUGUGUCUCUUUGUAGUUGUGUUGUGUCUCUUUGUAGUCGUGUUGUGUGUCUUUGUAGUCGUGUUGUGUCUCUUUGUAGUCGUGUUGUGUCUCUUUGUAGUCGUGUUGUGUCUCUUUGUAGUGUGUCUCUUUGUAGUCGUGUUGUUGUGUCUCUUUGUAGUCGUGUUGUGUCUCUUUGUGUCUCUUUGUAGUCGUGUUGUUUCUCUUUGUAGUCGUGUUGUGUCUCUUUGUGUCUCUUUGUAGUCGUGUUGUUUCUCUUUGUAGUCGUGUUGUGUCUCUUUGUGUCUCUUUGUAGUCGUGUUGUUUCUCUUUGUAGUCGUGUUGUGUCUCUUUGUGUCUCUUUGUAGUCGUGUUGUUUCUCUUUGUAGUCGUGUUGUGUCUCUUUGUAGUCGUGUUGUGUCUCUUUGUGAUUUCCUAACCAGAGAUCUCAGUAGUAGUUUCACACAGAGGUUCUGUCCGGUUCACUAAUCUGUCCGUAGUUGUUACA
rnacentral:lncRNA from 1 species